CGACCAGGGCUACACACGUGCUACAAUGGCGCAUACAAAGAGAAGCGACCUCGCGAGAGCAAGCGGACCUCAUAAAGUGCGUCGUAGUCCGGAUUGGAGUCUGCAACUCGACUCCAUGAAGUCGGAAUCGCUAGUAAUCGUGGAUCAGAAUGCCACGGUGAAUACGUUCCCGGGCCUUGUACACACCGCCCGUCACACCAUGGGAGUGGGUUGCAAAAGAAGUAGGUAGCUUAACCUUCGGGAGGGCGCUUACCACUUUGUGAUUCAUGACUGGGGUGAAGUCGUAACAAGGUAACCGUAGGGGAACCUGC
rnacentral:rRNA from 3 species